rnacentral:tRNA from 1 species
GGGCUCGUCGUUCAACGGUUAGGACACCCGUCUUAUAAACAGGUAACGAAAGUUCGACUCUUUCCGAGCCCA